rnacentral:rRNA from 1 species
GUCUAUGGCCAUGCCACCCUGAACGUGCCCAAUCUCGUCUCAUCUCGGAAGCUAAGCAGGGUCGGGCCUGGUGAGUACUUGGAUGGGAGACCACCUAAGAAUACCAGGUGCCAUAGGCG